UACAGAGGGGGCAAGCGUUGUUCGGAAUUACUGGGCGUAAAGGGCGCGUAGGCGGCCUGUUAAGUCGGACGUGAAAUCCCUCGGCUCAACCGGGGAACUGCGUCUGAUACUGGCGGGCUUGAAUUCGGGAGAGGGAUGUGGAAUUCCAGGUGUAGCGGUGAAAUGCGUAGAUAUCUGGAGGAACACCGGUGGCGAAGGCGGCAUCCUGGACCGGCAUUGACGCUGAGGCGCGAAAGCCAGGGGAGCAAACGGG
rnacentral:rRNA from 1 species